rnacentral:sRNA from 1 species
CCGAACAGGGAUUGUAGGUCCAAGCUU